CUUAUCGUGGUGGACAGUUUUGUGUGUCCUUAUGAACCUGGGGGCUGUGUAGUCUGGAGCUGUGUGCUCCUGGUAGGGUCUCCCGUGGCAAAGUGGUCUCAGGUGAGAGGCCAGACAAAGAAUGCUUCAAAAACCCUAUGAAUGACUGAGGAAGAGAUGGAGGGA